rnacentral:rRNA from 1 species
GAUGAACGCUGGCGGCGUGCUUAAUACAUGCAAGUCGAGCGAACGGACGAGAAGCUUGCUUCUUUGAUGUUAGCGGCGGACGGGUGUGUAACACGUGUAUAAUCCACCUAUAAGACUGGGAUCAUUUCGGGAAACCGGCGCUAAUACCGGAUAAUCUCUUGAACCGCAUGGUUCAAAAGUGAAAUACGGUCUUGCUGUCACUUAUAGAUGGAUCUGGGCUGCAUUAGCUAGUUGGUAAGGUAACGGCUUACCAAGGCAACGAGGCAUAGCCGACCUGAGAGGGUGAUCGGCCACACUGGAACGGAGACACGGUCCUGACUCCUACGGGAGGCAGCAGUAGGGAAUCUUCCGCAAAGGGCGAAAGCCUGACGGAGCAACGCCGCGUGAGUGAUGAAGAUCUUCGGAUCGUAAAACUCUGUUAUUAGGGAAGAACAUAUGUGUAAGUAACUGUGCACAUCUUGACGGUACCUAAUCAGAAAGCCACGGCUAACUACGUG